rnacentral:lncRNA from 1 species
CCAAGCCCACGGGGGCCUGGUGCACCGCGCUCUAAUGAUGGUGGGGACAGCUCCACCCCAACGCUUACCGAUGUCUUUGGUUGAGUUAGAGGUUGCUGCUCGGAUGUUGCGGCAACAAACUCGGGCAGGAGCAGGGCCAACCAUGCUGCGCAUUCUGGCUGGAAUGACGAAGGCUUGAGCGAGGGCAACGAUGGAGUCUGCAUCAAAGCUACGAAUGAAGCACGGCAGC